UACAGAGGGGGCAAGCGUUGUUCGGAAUUACUGGGCGUAAAGGGCGCGUAGGCGGCCGAUCAAGUCAGAUGUGAAAGUCCUGGGCUUAACCUGGGGACUGCAUUUGAUACUGAUUGGCUUGAAUUCGGGAGAGGAUAGCGGAAUUCCCAGUGUAGAGGUGAAAUUCGUAGAUAUUGGGAAGAACACCGGUGGCGAAGGCGGCUAUCUGGACCGACAUUGACGCUGAGGCGCGAAAGCGUGGGGAGCAAACAGG
rnacentral:rRNA from 1 species